rnacentral:rRNA from 1 species
UCCUACGGGGGGCAGCAGUGAGGAAUUUUCGUCAAUGGGGGAAACCCUGAACGAGCAACGCCGCGUGCAGGAAGAAGGUUUUCGGAUCGUAAACUGCUUUUCUCGGGGAAGAGAACGGACGGUACCCGAGGAAGAAGCCCCGGCUAACUACGUGCCAGCAGCCGCGGUAAUACGUAGGGGGCAAGCGUUGUCCGGAUUUAUUGGGCGUAAAGCGCACGCAGGCGGUCUUCUACGUUUCCAGUGACAGGUGGUGGCUCAACUGCCACAGGUCUGGUAAAACGGCUUGACUUGAGGACGAGAGAGGGAUGCGGAAUUCCAGGUGGAGCGGUGAAAUGCGUAGAGAUCUGGAAGAACACCAAUGGCGAAGGCAGCAUCCUGGAUCGUUUCUGACGCUCAGGUGCGAAAGCCAGGGGAGCGAACGGGAUUAGAUACCCCGGUAGUCCUGGCUGUAAACGAUGACCACUAGACGUAGGAGGUAUCGACCCCUUCUGUGUCGCAGCUAACGCACUAAGUGGUCCGCCUGGGGAGUACGGUCGCAAGAUUAAAACUCAAAGGAAUUGACGGGGACCCGCACAAGCAGCGGAGCGUGUGGUUUAAUUCGAUGCAACGCGAAGAACCUUACCAAGGCUUGACAUGGACUCGCACCAGCCGUAACGGGCUGUCUCUUUCGGGAGCGGGUUCACAGGUGCUGCAUGGCUGUCGUCAGCUCGUGUCGUGAGAUGUUGGGUUAAGUCCCGCAACGAGCGCAACCCCUAUCGUUAGUUGAAUACUCUAGCGAGACUGCCACGCUAAACGUGGAGGAAGGUGGGGAUGACGUCAAGUCAGCACGGCCCUUACGCCUUGGGCGACACACACGCUACAAUGGUCAGGACAAAGAGUUGCCAACCCGCGAGGGGGAGCUAAUCUCGUCAAACCUGAUCUCAGUUCAGAUUGCAGGCUGCAACCCGCCUGCAUGAAGUCGGAGUUGCUAGUAACCGUAGGUCAGCACACUACGGUGAAUACGUUCCCGGGUCUUGUACACACCG